UACGUAGGGGGCUAGCGUUGUCCGGAUUUAUUGGGCGUAAAGAGCGUGUAGGCGGCCAGGUAGGUCUGCUGUGAAAACUCGAGGCUUAACCUCGAGAUGUCGGCGGAAACCAUCUGGCUAGAGUCCGGAAGAGGAGAUUGGAAUUCCUGGUGUAGCGGUGAAAUGCGCAGAUAUCAGGAAGAACACCCGUGGCGAAGGCGGCUCUCUGGGACGGUACUGACGCUGAGACGCGAAAGCGUGGGGAGCGAACAGG
rnacentral:rRNA from 1 species